AGGUGCAGUCAUUUGAAUUGAUG
rnacentral:siRNA from 1 species